CACCCCGGGACAAGCAGUGCUAUGCACAGGAGAUAUGCUCAGGGCCUUGGCAUGGGGGUGGCAAGGUUACAGGGAUUCUGGACAUCCUUGAUUCCUGCGAAACUCUGCUGCAGCCUUCAUCUCCAUCUCCAUCUCCCUGCUGGGGUCGGGCCUCCCGCUAACGUGCCAGUGGACCAGUAGGGGAACCGCAGGCGGAGAGAAAAGGACUGGGGCUUGCCAAGAGGCCAGAUUUGAUAAGAAUUUACUGUGUCUACCAUGCUGGCUCCUUGGAAGAAAAGUUAUGACAAACCUAGACAACGUAUUAAAAAAGAGAGACAUCACUGUGAUGACAAAGAUCUAUAUAGUCAAAGCUAUGGUUUUCCCAGUAGUCACGUAUGGAUGUGAGAGUUCGACCAUGAAGAAGGCUAAGGACCGAAGAAUGAAUACUUUCAAACUAUGAUGCUGGAGAAGACUCUUGGGAGUCCCUUAGACAGUAAGGAGAUCAAACUAGCCAAUCCUAAAGAAAAUCAACCCUGAUUAUUCAUUGGAAGGACUGAUGCUGAAGCUGAAGCGCCAAUACUUUGACCACCUGAUGUGAAGAGCUGACUCAUUUGAAAGGACCCUGAAGCUGGGGAAGAUUGAAGGCAGGAGGAAAGGGGGACGACAGAGAAUGAGUUGGUUGGAUGGCAUAAUUGACUCAAUGAACAUGAGUUUGAGCAAACUCUGGGAGACAGUGAUGGACAGGGAAGCCUGGUAUGCUGCAGUCCAUGGGGUCACAGAGAGUCGGACACGACUUAGAACAACAACCGCGUUCUGGGUGUAUUAGUUAGACAUGGAUGUGUUACCCAUGUCUUUAUUUUCUUGUUUCUGAUGCUUUGACAUCUGGGGCUUCAGCCCCUCCCAGGACCAGCUAAUUCCCAGAGACAGCAAACAAGUUGCCCUAGGGUGCCUUUCACAUGCAAACCAGUCGACUCAGAGCUCACAUCCCAAUUGGCUCCUCUCACACUCGGUGUCACUAUCCCCCUGCCCUAAUCACCCCAGGGUCAGUGCCAGGCAGCUUUUUCUCGCGUCUGUCAUGUCCCUUUGUGACCCUAGGCCACAGCCUACCAGACUCUUCUCUUCAUGGGGUUCUCCAGGUAAGAAUACUGGAGUGGGUUUCCUCUGUCAAGGGAUCUUCCCGAAACAGGAAUCAAACCUGGGUCUCCCACAUCACUGGCAGAUUCUUCACCAUCUGAGUCAUCAGGCCACAAGCCUGAGGCCACAGGUAGCCACUGUCUCACUUCCUUGGUCAGUACUCACGCCUGUGAACCUCCGCCCCCAACACAGAUUCCCAUCCCAGUGGGAAAGGCAAAAUAACGCCCCCUCCCCCUACCCAAAGAAGUCCACAUCAGAGAUCCCUUCCUGACUGUGAUCAUGUACCAGGAAGGGAGGGAGACCCUACCAGGGCCCGAGAGUGGGCUCUUGUCUAACAUUCAGAAGUGAAUUGUCUGAGGAGACACACGGGCUGACAAAGCAAGAGACUUUGUUGGGAAGGGGGCGCCGGGUGGGGGUAGAAAAUAGCAAAUAAAGGAACCCAGGAGAACUGCUCUGCUACGUGGCUCGAAGGCUCAGGGUUUAUGGUAAUGAGGUUGGUUUCUGAGUUGCCUCUGGCCAGUCAUCUUGUUUGGCCCACAUUUAGUCUGAGUCACCAGGCUUAGGGCUUCUUUGGUAGCUUGGUGGUAAAGAAUCCACCUGCCAAUUCAGGAGAUGAAAGAGACUUGGGUUCGAUUCCCUAAAUUAGGAAGAUCCCCUGGAGGACGAAUUGGCAUCUCACACCAGUAUUCUUGCCUGGAAAAUUCUCUUAACAGAGGGGCCUGGUGGGCUACAGUCCAGGGGGUCACAAAGAGUUGGACACAACUGAGUGACUGAGCACACACACAUGCACACACAUACACACACCCCUGGUUCUUCCAGGUGGUGUGUGCAUCUCUUGUUCAAGAUGGAUUCAAGCAUGAAGGAUUCUGGGAGGUUGGUAGGACAUAUUAUGGGCUGGUAUCUCCUCCCUCCUUUUGGCCCCUCUCAAAUUCUUCUGGUUAGUUUUCAGAGGCAGCACCACUUUGCUUUUCAGGACCUACUGUUGCGAGGCAAUUCAGGCAAGCAGGCCUGGCCAAGGCUCAUGAUUUCAGAAAUUGUCCCCUAAUAGUCAGAGGGAGAUGUGACUGUGGAAAAAGGAUGAAAAAUAUGCUGCAUUCCUGGCUCUGAAGCUGGAGGAAGGGGCCAGGAUGCAAGGAGUGUGGGUGGCUUGGAGAAGCUGGAAAAGGCAGGGAAUCAGAUCGCUCUCCUAGUGCCUUGGAAAGAAACAGCUCUGCAGGCACCUUGAAUUGGAGGACUUCAGGCCUCCAGACUUUGAGGUGAGAGGUUUAUGUCAAUUUGUUAUGACAGCCAGAGGAAACACACACCUAAUUCUCUUGCAGGUAUUGUGUGAAACUCUCAAAUCAUAAAAUCAGUGCAAUACUAGGAAUUCCCUGGUAAUGAGUGUUUAGAACUCAGCACACUCAUUGCUGAGGCCCCAGGUUUGAUCCCUGAUCAGGGAACUAAGAUUCCCACAAACUGCAUGCCAAGCACCGCCCCCCCCCCGCCCCCCUUAAAAAAAAAAAAUCAGCGCUACUCUGGGGAGAGGAGAUGCUGAGAAACUGGCAUCUUGCUGAGCCAAUGAGGCCUCUGGCUCAUAAGGUUGGACCUGACAUAGUCACCCACCAGAAUCUGCCCAGCGACCUGGGGUGGAGGCAUCAUGCCCAUUUGAGAAAUGACAACUCUGAGAGCUCCAGAGAGGGUAAGUCACUUUUCCAAGGACACACAGUUGACAAAAGAAGGAGAGUCUGAGAUGUGAACCCACUGGCCUCACCAUCCUGUGAUCUUGUGACUAACGAGGGAGGGAUGGGCUAACCUCUGGAGGGUUGGGGAGGGGCAGCACUGGGAGGUCUCAGUGGAGACCCCGCCCCUCGAUCUGCAAACCAGUGAAAAAGCACCAUAUCCCCAGGAACCGACAACUCUAUGCCUGUGUUUUUAAAAACUCAAAAGUCCUUUUUAGAGCACUGCAUGUGAAAAUAUUUAACGAAGAGGAAUGCGUGCAAUUUGAGACUGGCAAUCAUUGUGCAGGCUGGGGAAUUCCUGCAAAGUGAGAAAAUUUAACCUAGGAGCUGUUUUGAAAUGUAAUGAAAUCUUUAUGAAUACAGAAUUUAGCGGUUGAUGGAGUUGACACAUUUUUGUAAAUGUGGAGACAUGUGAUAAGGUAUUCAUUCUGAUUUUGCAGUUUUCUCUUUGCAUUUUCGGAGCUGAUCAUUUCUGCCCUCUUUCUCUCUGGGCCUCAGAAAACAUUUUAUGGGUCUCCCGGAGAACAUGAGUACCUUAGGCCCUAUUCCUGUAGGCCUCCCAGUGCCUGUUAACAUUUAUUGAACACUUAACAUUUUCUAGGAGCUUUUUACAUCUAUUAACUAAUUUAAUCUUGGCAAAG
ensembl:lncRNA